CCUACGGGCCGCACCAGUGGGGAAUAUUGCACAAUGGGCGCAAGCCUGAUGCAGCCAUGCCGCGUGUAUGAAGAAGGCCUUCGGGUUGUAAAGUACUUUCAGCGGGGAGGAAGGUGUUGUGGUUAAUAACCACAGCAAUUGACGUUACCCGCAGAAGAAGCACCGGCUAACUCCGUGCCAGCAGCCGCGGUAAUACGGAGGGUGCAAGCGUUAAUCGGAAUUACUGGGCGUAAAGCGCACGCAGGCGGUCUGUCAAGUCGGAUGUGAAAUCCCCGGGCUCAACCUGGGAACUGCAUUCGAAACUGGCAGGCUAGAGUCUUGUAGAGGGGGGUAGAAUUCCAGGUGUAGCGGUGAAAUGCGUAGAGAUCUGGAGGAAUACCGGUGGCGAAGGCGGCCCCCUGGAUAAAGACUGACGCUCAGGUGCGAAAGCGUGGGGAGCAAACAGGAUUAGAUACCCCCGUAGUC
rnacentral:rRNA from 1 species